AAUCUUUUUUUUUUUAAAACAACACUUAAGGUUGCUAUUUUUGAUAUAUUUCAUACAGGGUACGGACAUUUCUCCUGAACACAAGUUGCCUCCUGGUUGUCAGAUGCAGCAAGGACUUCUGAUUGUUAAGUGUCUCUGAUGACAAAGGCUCUCUCACACAAGGAAGGAAGGAAAGUGCCAUUCGUAAGAUCCUGCCCUAAAGUUAUUCUGCAAAAUGAGGACUUUUUUCCCCUGCCUUUUGUCUGCUUCAACUGUGAAUGAGACCUAAGACUGCAAAAUUCUCAUUGAGUGUUCCAGUAUUACGAAUGUUUUUCAAGAGUCAUGAGAUGAAGAAACAUUCUCCUUUUCAAAAGACAGGUGAAAUCUUCAUGUAAACAUUGGUUUUCAUCAACUGAGGCUUAAGGUAAAAUACCAAAUGUUGGAAGAUUCCUGAUGAAGUCAUGCACACUGACAAAAUAGCUUCACAAUUAUCAGGAGACGGGCUGAGUUGGGAAGGUCCCAGGGAGAAUACUGAAAGAAAGUUUUCUGGGGUGUGUUUCUCUUCUACACAUACUUCCAAGAUUUGGUCAUCUUGGUCUUUUCCUUACUAGGAGAUCAGACUUUGCCUGGUAUGUAUCUAGACUUAUCUGGGAGGCCACUUUAUUUCCCUGCAGGUAGACAACAUUAACCACAAUUACAAAAAUUUCUUGUCUCAAUCUUCACUACCUGGGGCCAGCACAUUCAGGGCCUGUGCUAUGACUCUGCAGUAUUUGGUUGGCUUCAAGAUUUGCUACCUGUCCUUGUAUUUUACAAGUGAAGUACAGUUUACUGUCAAAGCCACCAGGAUAGAAAGAAUUUGAGGCCAUUUGCCUUAUUUUUGUGCAGCCCUGUUUUGAAGGUUCACUGGUUGUUCUGUGAGCUGCAAACACCACCUGUGUCUCUGGAGUGCUACCUGUCUGAAGAGGUCAGCUUGCCACAGCUGCAUUCCCCAGUGUGACAUUAGCAGGGGCAGGAGGGGCACAAAACAAAGGAAUACGUAUGCCUGAAGCCCUCUGAUGCUCAAAGUACCAUUUGUAGUUCAUAAAGAAGUCCAUUUCGUAGCAUGUUCAUAAGCGAAGUUUCUGAAACUUCAAAACAGUAAAAAACAUAUUUUAUUGUAUGAUAUCCUAGCAGCUGUCAAGGACCCAGACUGAGAGGAUGUGUAUGGUAUCCCCAUUAGAGGUUUGCAUUGGUGGUGACACUAGUGGCUGUAACUUAUUCUUGGAAUAUUGGUAGAUAUAAUACAGAAUCCAGUAGUGGAAAUUAUUCAAGUCAUUAACAUGCCAAAUGAGGCUCUCUUCCUAUUGCAGUGUUCAUGUUGAACAUUGCUAUUAUCUUGAAUAAAAUGGUUGCCUCUUUCUAAGGGGAAAAAAGAGGGGAGAGGUGAAGUGGAGGAACAAGUGAAGUUAAGUCCUCAGGGAUGAAAAAAAUUCCAGUGUCUGUUGUGUCUAAAAUGUUUCUUGCCUAAGUUUUCAGUAGACCAUUAAAUAAAAAACUACCUUUUUUUAAGUCUUCUACACAAGAGCAGUCAGGUUAAACCAUUUAUUUGCAAAGACUGGAUGCAUAAAAACUUGGGGAAGUAUGCAGGUGUAAUCACAGCAUAAUAACCUUACCUUUAACUUCGGCUUUGUUUAUUUUUUAAUACUGUGGGGGUUUGUUACUUUUUUAAUCCAAAUGGUUUUGAAAGAGUAGAUUAAUGUUUGUC